rnacentral:rRNA from 1 species
UACCAGCACCCCGAGUGGUCGGGACGAUUAUUGGGCCUAAAGCAUCCGUAGCCGGUCUUGCAAGUCUUCCGUUAAAUCCAGCUGCUUAACGGAUGGGCUGCGGAAGAUACUACAAGACUAGGAGGCGGGAGAGGCAAGCGGUACUCAGUGGGUAGGGGUAAAAUCCUCUGAUCCAUUGAAGACCACCAGUGGCGAAGGCGGCUUGCCAGAACGCGCUCGACGGUGAGGGAUGAAAGCUGGGGGAGCAAACAGG